rnacentral:rRNA from 2 species
GGGGCCCCGCGCAGCGCUGUAAUACGUAGGUGGCCGGAUAGCGUUGUCUGGUAUUAUUGGGCGUAAAGCGCGCGCAGGCGGUCUCUUAAGUCUGAUGUGAAAGCCCCCGGCUCAACCGGGGAGGGUCAUUGGAAACUGGGAGACUUGAGUACAGAAGAGGAGAGUGGAAUUCCACGUGUAGCGGUGAAGUGCGUAGAGAUGUGGAGGAACACCAGUGGCGAAGGCGACUCUCUGGUCUGUAACUGACGCUGAGGCGCGAAAGCGUGGGGAGCAAACAGGAUUAGAUACCCUGGUAGUCCACGCCGUAAACGAUGAGUGCUAGGUGUUAGGGGUUUCGACGCCCUUAGUGCCGAAGUUAACACAUUAAGCACUCCGCCUGGGGAGUACGACCGCAAGGUUGAAACUCAAAGGAAUUGACGGGGGCCCGCACAAGCAGUGGAGCAUGUGGUUUAAUUCGAAGCAACGCGAAGAACCUUACCAGGUCUUGACAUCCUUUGACCACCCUAGAGAUAGGGCUUUCCCCUUCGGGGGACAAAGUGACAGGUGGUGCAUGGUUGUCGUCAGCUCGUGUCGUGAGAUGUUGGGUUAAGUCCCGCAACGAGCGCAACCCUUGACCUUAGUUGCCAGCAUUCAGUUGGGCACUCUAAGGUGACUGCCGGUGACAAACCGGAGGAAGGUGGGGAUGACGUCAAAUCAUCAUGCCCCUUAUGACCUGGGCUACACACGUGCUACAAUGGAUGGUACAAAGGGUUGCGAAGCCGCGAGGUGAAGCCAAUCCCAGAAAGCCAUUCUCAGUUCGGAUUGUCAGGCUGCAACUCGCCUGCAUGAAGCCGGAAUUGCUGAGCCUGAUCGCGGAUCAGCAUGCCGCGAUGAUACUUUCCCGGGGCCUAUAAAA